GGCAGUGUAGCAUAGUGGUAUGGUACAGGGCUUGUAACCAAAAGGUUUCCAGUUCGAUUCCCCACUGGGGCACUGCUG